UGGGGAAUAUUGCACAAUGGGCGCAAGCCUGAUGCAGCCAUGCCGCGUGUAUGAAGAAGGCCUUCGGGUUGUAAAGUACUUUCAGCGGGGAGGAAGGGAGUAAAGUUAAUACCUUUGCUCAUUUACGUUACCCGCAGAAGAAGCACCGGCUAACUCCGUGCCAGCAGCCGCGGUAAUACGGAGGGUGCAAGCGUUAAUCGGAAUUACUGGGCGUAAAGCGCACGCAGGCGGUUUGUUAAGUCAGAUGUGAAAUCCCCGGGCUCAACCUGGGAACUGCAUCUGAUACUGGCAAGCUUGAGUCUCGUAGAGGGGGGUAGAAUUCCAGGUGUAGCGGUGAAAUGCGUAGAGAUCUGGAGGAAUACCGGUGGCGAAGGCGGCCCCCUGGACGAAGACUGACGCUCAGGUGCGAAAGCGUGGGGAGCAAACAGG
rnacentral:rRNA from 1 species